CAUGACAUUGUCAUUGUUGUAAUUGUUAUUCCUCAAGAAACUAACAAGUGUGCUUACAGAUAUUUCGACUGGUUUCCCUGUGGUUCACUCUAUCAUAUAGACAAGAUAUCAUAACUAACAUUGCAUGGCCGACUAAUAAAGUCAUAAUUAGCUAAGAAAAUGGACUCACAACAAAGGCAAGUGCACAAAGGAUGAUGAAUUGAAGGAUGGAGCAAGUUUCAUGCAUGGUUUACUUUUGUGUAUCUUGUAAUGUUUCUGUUUUUCAUUUUUGAAGUAAAAAUUGUUCAAGAUUAUAAAAUUUUAUUAUGUUAUGCUUUCAAACUUAAGUUAGAACUAAGAUCUCAUGAAGUAGACACAUUCAUGGUUUGAAUUAGUUAUUGUUUAAUGUAAUACUUAUGGUUUAUCAAUCUAUUGAGAAUUACAUUU